rnacentral:rRNA from 1 species
CGGCGGACGGGUGAGUAAUGCCUAGGAAUCUGCCUGGUAGUGGGGGACAACGUUUCGAAAGGAACGCUAAUACCGCAUACGUCCUACGGGAGAAAGCAGGGGACCUUCGGGCCUUGCGCUAUCAGAUGAGCCUAGGUCGGAUUAGCUAGUUGGUGAGGUAAUGGCUCACCAAGGCGACGAUCCGUAACUGGUCUGAGAGGAUGAUCAGUCACACUGGAACUGAGACACGGUCCAGACUCCUACGGGAGGCAGCAGAG